UUCCGUAGGUGAACCUGCGGAAGGAUCAUUAAAAAAUGUGGUACCAAUUAUUGGUACUAAUUAAUCAUCCUACCCUUUGUGAAUUUGUUUGUAUGAAUUUUUUAAAUGGUCUUUCCCUAAGUUGGAUUGUUAGUAAAAUACAAAAAGACUUAGGGGAAUGACUUUUUUAAAAGACUUUUUUUAAUUAAAACUUUUUGUAUUCAUUUGUCUAAAAUUUAUUUUUAUAAUAUAAAAACAACUUUGACAAUGGAUCUCUUGGUUCUCGCAACGAUGAAGAACGCAGCAAAAUGCGAUAAGUAAUGUGAAUUGCAGAAUACGUGAAUCAUCGAAUCUUCGAACGCAUAUUGCACUUUUUUAGUUUACUAAAAAAGUAUGUCUGUUUGAGUAUCAGUAAAAUAUUCUCAUAAAAUCGAUUGGUUUUAUGGUUAUGAGUGUUUUACAACGAUAAACAAGUUGUUUCACUUUAAAUGGAUUUUAAUUGAAAUCGUCGGUUGGAACGAUUUUAAUUUUUUUAAAAAAUUGGAUAAAAUUUUCCCGUAAAAAGGAAUAAACUAUUUCAGUUUUUUUAGAAAUUUAAUAGUUUCCAUACCGUACAGUUAAGGAAAUUUAUUUAAAUAACUUGAUCUCAAAUCAGAUAAGAGUACCCGCUGAACUUAAGCAUAUCAAUAAGCAGAGGAAAAGAAACUAACAAGGAUUCCCUUAGUAACGGCGAGUGAAGCGGGAAGAGCUCAAAUUUGAAAUCUUCAAGGUUCUACCUUGACGAAUUGUAGUUUAAAGAAGUGUUUUCUGUUAGAGGAGUGGCAAAAGUUCUUUGGAAUAGGACAUCAUAGAGGGUGAGAAUCCCGUAUUUGACCAUGACUUUCCAGCUGUGUGAUACACUUUCAAAGAGUCGGAUUGUUUGGGAAUGCAGUCCAAAAUGGUGGUAAAUUUCAUCUAAAGCUAAAUAUUGGCGAGAGACCGAUAGCGAACAAGUACCGUGAGGGAAAGAUGAAAGAACUUUGAAAAGAGAGUUAAACAGUACGUGAAAUUGUCAAAAGGGAAGCGUUUGACACCAGUGUUGUUUUCUCGAAAAUCAAUUUAAUGAGUUCUUGUUUUUAAGUUAUUGUGACUUUAUCAGCGCAUUUCUUAUUUUACUUGACUCAUUGAAUGCACUUUUCGUUUAACAAGUCAACAUCAAUUUCUUUGGUGGUAAAAGUUUAAAGGAAGGUGGCUUGGACUUCGGUUCAAGUGUUUAUAGCCUUUUUCUAUGCCAUCGGAGAGAUUGAGGUCUGCGGCGUAGAUCCUUCGGGGUUAGAUACCUUUGUGCUAAGUUAUAGUUUUUUAUAGACAACUUGUUGACUAUAAUUAACCCUGUAAUUUACUCGCUUAGGCUAUUUUACCUACGCUUAGGAUGUUG
rnacentral:misc_RNA from 1 species